AUUGAACGCUGGCGGCAGGCCUAACACAUGCAAGUCGAACGAGUGGCGGACGGGUGAGUAAUGUCUGGGAAACUGCCUGAUGGAGGGGGCUAACUACUGGAAACGGUAGCUAAUACCGCAUACCAUCGGAUGUGCCCAGAUGGGAUUAGCUAGUAGGUUGGGUAAAGGCUCACCUAGUCGACGAUCCCUAGCUGGUCUGAGAGGAGGACCAGCCAUACUGUAACUGAGACACGGUCCAGACUUAUACGUGAGGCAGCAGUGGGGAAUAUUGCACAAUGGGCGCAAGCCUGAUGCAGCCAUGCCGCGGGUAUGAAGAAGGCCUUCGGGUUGUAAAGUACUUUCAGCGGGGAGGCGUUACCCGCAGAAGAAGCACCGGCUAACUCCGUGCCAGCAGCCGCGGUAAUAC
rnacentral:rRNA from 1 species